rnacentral:rRNA from 1 species
GACAGAGGGGGCAAGCGUUGCUCGGAAUUACUAGGCGUAAAGGGCAGGUAGGUGGUUUGGUAAGUCUGUUGUGAAAGCUCCCGGCUUAACUGGGAGAGGUCAACAGAUACUGCCGGACUAGAGUGUGGGAGAGGGUACUGGAAUUCCCGGUGUAGCGGUGAAAUGCGCAGAUAUCAGGAGGAACACCGGUGGCGAAGGCGGAUCUCUGGGCCGAUACUGACGCUGAGGAGCGAAAGCGUGGGGAGCGAACAGG